rnacentral:tRNA from 5 species
GCGGAAGUAGCUCAGUGGUAGAGCGCCUCCUUGCCAAGGAGGAGGUCGCGAGUUCGAACCUCGUCUUCCGCUCCA